rnacentral:lncRNA from 11 species
CUGAGAAGUGGAAAUGACUGUUUAGUCAUCAUACAAGGGAUUCCACAUUUUUCCAACUUAUUUUGUUCGAGCCAGCAGAUCAAAAACUCCACUAAAACUCUCUUCCUUUUUUAUUCCAAUAUUUUCCAAUAAAUAAAUAGUUCAUUCACUAGGGAUUUAGCUGUGAGGAGUAAAUAAAUACAUUGUCCUGUAUAAGAAUUUUGCCCCAAUGAAGUUUUCUUUCCUUCAAACAAAAAGAAAACCCUCAUUCUCUGAAAACUACUACCACCUAGUUAGAAAGUAGAAACAGUGUUAAGGAAGCAUCAAACCUGAAGGUUGAAGCAUGCCUACUCCAGAAAAGACCUGCAGUAAAGAAAAAAAAAGGGUUUUUUUAAAGAAAGCCCUAGAUAGCUCCAGGCUGAUCACUCUUUCUUUCCUGGAAAGUGGGAAGCCUUCUUAAAUGCCUUGGAAAGCUGUUGCAGAGAGAGAGAGAGCAUGCACACCUGCAGCCUGUCUCAUUUAAAGUAGAAAGAAACAGCUUUAACAAAGCAUUAAACCGGGUCUCCUCUACAGCCAUUGCUGACACCCAGGCUCCCUUGAAGGAAAAAAGGAAAGGGUCCCAGGAAUGGAAAGGGGAGCCUCGCUUUCCGCAGAGCUCUGGACCACUCAUAUCUGUUUAGCUCAGAAGAAAAAC